ensembl:lncRNA
GUAAACCUUCAAAUACCUCUACUUUUGUUAUUCAUUCUGAAUAGAUCAUGUUUACUCUUUUAUUUAUGCAUACCUCCUAGGAUAUUUAUACCUCAUUCACAUACCGCACAAUACAGUACAUGCCCCAUAGUUCUAGGACCAAAGAUCCACGGUACUGUUCAAAGUUUGAAUGAAAUGCGCUUUAUGGUCAUCGCUCCAUGCUCGUAAACCUGAACAGCCCUUGGUUUGUUGCAUCUACUGUAAAUGUCGGGGUAUGUUUAUGCUUUUUCUCACCAAGAAACCAAAUGAUUCAGACGAAAGCAUUGUGCCAAAAUGAUUUGUGAUAGUUCUGUGCCAAGCAGAGUUAAAAUUUUUUGGACCAUGCCUUUGUAGGCGACUAAUGUCACUGGACUAUUAUCAAAGAUACAAAUGUUAAAUCAGAGCACCUGAGGAUAAAUCCUCUUCCUCUGACUGGAUGCACUUGAGAGGGCUGGGCCCCGUUUACCUUUACCUCAUGAUGAUAAUGGACAUGUCCAUUCCACUUGUAAGUUGUUCUAGUGAGCCGGGGGUGAGGGCAAGAGGAAAUGUCCUCUUUUAAAGCGUUACCAUCACAUGUCCGCCUUUUUUGACUGCACAUGAAUUACCUCUUAUUUCAGCACAAUAUUGCCGCGUGGAUUUUCAGGAUGCUUGGUGCUGGCUCUUCCAGAGAAGUAGCCUCUGGGAGUAUCCUUUCAGACUGGUGGUUUAAAGCAGUGAUUCCCAACUGAGCAAAACCUGUUCCCCAAUAAAGAUCGAGUGAAGAUGAAGAAAUGUGAGGUGUAAAGUUAACAAAAAAUAAAUCCGGAAAAAGCUGCAAAAUGAUUAACUAGUAUCAAAGUGAGAAAAUGGUUGGAAAGCUUGAUGGUAGGCCAAUGGCAUGCAAUGUAGUUACAACUUUAAUCUGUUGUUUCUACACAAAUUUAAAUGAAUACUUAUAAUUUAAAUGUUAUAUGAUGUCCCUGAAAAUCACAUUUAAACUGUUCACUACCCUUGUACUAAUUUUUGUAUGAAAUAGAUUUUUUUUUUUUUCCCCACUUUUUAAAAGGUGGUGGUGGUGGUGGUGGUGAUGGGGGGGGGGGUAAAAUAUCUGAGGAUAUUCUGAGGAAUCAAUGGUGGAGUCACCAGAGACAGUCUUGCAUUUCAGAUUUUCAACAUCAUUUGUAUCAUUUCAAGAUGGGAUUUCAUUUAAUUUGGGUUACAAUAUCACAGUUGUCACCUCCUUUUUAAAUCUUUGUUUUCUUGGUUUCCAUGGUGACACGUACCCACUUUCUCUGGAUAAAAUCGUAGACUGUAUACAAAAGACAGACUUGGCUAACAUGAUGGCAUCCACUGUUAUGUGAAUCUCGCAAAAACCACAUUUUUGAUGAGGGGCAGGUCAGAUUGUGAAUCUUACUAUUUGGCUAACGAGUAGUUAAUCAUAAAUCAUUAGCCAAUGAGCGUACCACGGAUAGGCCUCCAUUUAAAAACAUGGUAUGUACAAGAUUUAUAAAAUGGACUUUAGUAUGACUUGAGACAGGUGGCUGAGCACAAACUUAGGAGGAAAGACAAGACAGCCAUUUCCUCACAUAUUUCUGAAGGACCAGAAGCCUUUUUUAGAACUAUAGCUAUCGCCAUCUAGUGGCCUUUGGAUAGAAUGCAGGUUUAAGGCACUGACGUAUCUGCUUCGUUUUUCCAUUCAAAAGCUACGUCCAUGUUUCAUUAUACUCUGUGGUGAAAAUUCUGCUUCUGACAAAUGACUCACAAAUUUGCGCUCGGUCACAAUUCAUGUCUAUGAAUAAAAAUGUAAAAAACACAAUCGAUCAAGAAGACAAAAAUUAGCCGCUAUGUUUUUUGGGAUUUUUCUUUGACAGUUUCUGGUUUGGUGCGAGACCAGGCUGUAGUACAUGAUGGAUGAACUGUUAAAUUGUUUGCCAAAACCAUAGCCAAACAGUUGAAUGGCAGUAUGGAUAAACAAAUAAAACUGAAUGGGUAAACAAAGGAUGUAAAGGACACCUUAAACUGCUAGCUAAAAUUAUUUUUCCAAUUUUUAUAAAACAUCUGUUAUUUGACUAAAAGUACAGGUAGCAGAUAAAUUGUUAGCUAAUAGCUUGGAUUGAAUAGUUAAAAUAGCCAGAUGGAAUGUCAAAAAAAUUAAAAUGUAGUAGUAGUAAUAGUAGUAGUAAUAGCUACAGGUAGCGAAUGAAUGGCGGGAACAUCGUGAAAUAGGUUGGAAUCACUGGUUUAAACAAAUGCAUGACAGGAUUGUGGAUGUAGCUAUUAGCACAUUUAACCACUGCUGCUUUGACUACAACACCCAGUUUCAACCAGUAAAGUAGAACAUUUUUUUUCCUCUUCUUCUCAGUAUUACUCUUUGACAUGUUUGUUCAUGUUGCAUCGGGUUUUAUUUUUUAAUUAAGAUUACAGAAUUCUAUCUUUAAGAUCCUUAGGUCUUCACUCUUAAAGAGGAAAAAAAUGUAUUUUAAACCUUUUUUUUUUUUUAAUUUUGUUGCAUGCUUUAAAAAGUCUAUGUAUUAUACUGAUGUCUCUUUAGAUAGAUGAUAAACUGAGAUGGAGUGGGUAGCUGAUUAUUGGGGUGGUGUUUCCAAAAUGGAUACCCAAAAAUGCGUGUGUGUUUGAGCGCGCGAGUGUGUGUUAGGAUUGCGUUGGAUGGAAUUAACCGUUGACUUUUGUGAUUGUAUUUCCUGUUCUCUAGAGGCUCUGCAAAGCACCCACUGUUUGGGUAGCCAUACUUUGAAUCCACAGAAACAACCGGCAGAGUUUUGACUAGCGUGACCCUCGACCGUUAGUAAUGAAUUUUCCUCAACUCCCUCUAAAAUGCUUUAUAUGAGCGGGCAUAUAGGAAUGCUGUCCUUUCAUGCUGAAGUGAUGUAAAAACCUUCCCUGCUCAAAUUUAAGAUGAGAAAUCCUUUUAGUAGGUGUGAGGAACAGCACAAACUAAAAAAAAUCGCCUCCCCUUCUUGAAUUCGAACCCGACAGCGUGCAGGGAUGGCCGCUGAGCACAUGAUCAGUCGACUGUGGCCCUGCUCUGCGUUGCUUUUUGUUUUGUUUUUUUGUUUCUUUGUGCUACCAUUUUAUUUCUGGCCUCCCACAAUUUAACAGGAGAGAACAAAGCAAAGCCAGGUGUGCGAGGUCAUAGACCUGCUUUUAAAUGAUUGUAUACGCUUAAGAAAAGAACGAGGGGGAAAAAAAGGGGUUGGGAUGUGUUUAGAAAGGAAAAAGACAAAACUCAGGUAGUUCUCAGCAGCGCUGUGCUGCAGGUGUCUCAUUGAAUCGUGUAGUGAUAAUGUAGUGACUUUUUUCUCCCCACCCCCCACUGUUAUGAUCUCUGUACUAGUCUGAUUCUUUUUGUGUGUCCACUUGCAUAUAUAAAACAAAUAAUUUCUCAAUUUGAAAAUAAUGCUUUCAAUUUGUACCCUGAUUUUAUUUUUCUUUCCCCUCUGGUUCAAGUUUUGGUUUGUUUAUUUUUAUCUUUAACAAAAAGUACAACUAUUCACACCACUUGAUGCUCAUUGGCCCUUUUAGAAUGUAUUUUGUGAAGAAAAGGCUUAAAUGGCAUCUUGCUGCUCACUCGCCGGCGCCAUCUGCUGGUGGCAGAUACACGACACGGCAGAGACCACAGAAAAUCUGUGUUACCACCGGCCGAGGUGGGAGCCGUCUCGUCCUGUCAGCUGUAUCCUGUUCUUCCAGCAGCUGGUUGUUGCGUGUCAAGUGGGCGCCAUGUGCGUGUGUCUGCGUGUUUGCGCUGCAUCUGUGUCGUCUGUGCAGAAAUCCACUGAAUGUAUCCUCCUCGCAGUCCAAGAGCUGGGGUGAGCCAGCGUGGCCAGCUGAGUUUAGAUGGGUGCUGCUGGUGCUUUCUCAUCCACGCUGCAGUGUGUGUUGUUAUCAGUUCAAUCUCAGUGUGUGUGUUUUUACACAUGUGUGCACACACAUGCACGUUGUAAUGGAUGGAAGUGCAAAUGUCAGGUCUUCAGUCUAAAUAAGGCAUCGGAGACUAUAAGAUAACGGCCACGUGCUGCUCUCUCUGCACUCUGUGGACUUUAAACAUUUCCUAUGCAGUUUUUUUUGGGGGGUUUUCUUUGUUUACACUUAAAUAAAGUUGUGUUUCUUUGACUUAAAUCUCCUGUGAGUGGUUUUUUGUUUUGUUUUUUUUGCUCUUAGGCCACGCUAAAACACUUGAGGAUUGCUUCACACAGCCCUGUUUCAUCACAUGUGGGCCGGCCCGAUGAAAUUCUUUUAAAAUAAUUUUUUUUCCUUUUGAGAUUUUUGGUUUUUGUUUAGUGAGCCACCCAUUUUCAAAGCUUGACACUACACAUUCAAUAAUCAGUGAAACCUUGACACAACCACUGUUAGUACUGCAACCGAGACCUCACUCUGAUAACACUACAGCUAACAACUGCUUCCUAAUGAAAAAACACAAUAUUCAUGCCCAGUUCUGUGCAGUUCUCAAACGGUGUGGCUCAGACGUCCACUGAGCCUUUUGUCGACCAAUCCUGGCUUACUUCCCCAGACAGUAUAUUGGUAUUUACAGUGUAUGCAGUCCAGUGGAAAAACUAAGCACACCCAACAAUUCAGUAGCUUGUAGCACCACUUUAUCAGCAAUAACAUCAACUAAUC